GGGUUGGGUUGGGUUGGGUUGUGUGUGCCACUGUGAACAAAUGUGGAGUGCUUAAUUUGGCUCUCCCAUUUUUUCUCUUUUUAUUAUAUAAAAUUUCUUUGGAUUUGGAAAACAUUUUUCAUCUCCGUUGGAGCAACUUGGGCAAUAGCCCAUGUUUCGGGUUCAGGAAGGGGAAGAAGCUCAAGAGAACACAGACAAGAGAAAGAGGUCGUGAAAGACGACAAUGCGCAAGCCUGAGGAGAAUGUGGCUCAAUUGUCUUCUGGGUUUUAUACUUUUCAGCUGGGCUUGUCUAGGAUCAUGACAAAGCUAGCCAUAGUUUCAAGGUUACUCACUGCCAGUACCUAAAUAGGAUAAUGAAAUGACAGCAGGGACUAUUGGAGAACUCAUAUCAACGCUAAAUCUUAGCCAAGCUGUUUACAGUUGCAAUGUAUUUCUAGGAGAAUUGCUUCACGUAUCUCCAUACUCUAUAGUACUGCUUGUGCUUGGGAGCCUAUGACAACUUGGGCUGAUCUGUCUGAUGUGAAUUAGCAACAAUAAUGGUGAGGGAGGAGCUUUCCAUCCUUUGGUUAGCUAACAAAGGACUCUAGAGUGCGUGGUGAAUAUGGGAUCAUUUCUGGUCUCAUCUUUGUUAAUUGGGCUGCUGUGCUGCUCAAUGGAAAGGUAAACAAGUGCAUUAUGUUAUGUAGUAAAAAAGGCUUUGCCUGGCUGGCUGGGAUUGUGGAUCAUAUCUGGAGGUGGAGAAAUUAUAGGAUUUUGGGAAUGAGAGCAAAGCUUCUCACGGCUGUGCUGUGUUCGACUUGUAAUAUUUCGAGUCUUGCUGUGGAUGGCCAAAGCUUGUGCUGCUCAAAUUGUGUGAGCCAUUUAUGCAGUUUUGGUUGAUGUACAUGCAGACCCCAACUUUCUGGUGGCAUAUGGAUCAAUUAGUCUGUAACAGGAAUGGUUCUCGAUUCAAUUUUUGUCAUGUUGGGAUCAUAGUUAGUGUCGAAUUUUGUAAAUCUGGAGGAAUUCUAGGCUAUUUAUUACAAAAGCUUUGAACAAUUGGUAAAAGAAAUAAAGGCUUUGAACAAUUCUAGGAUAUUCUAGUCAUGGUGCAAGGUCUGUCACUCAGUACUUUCACUGCGUCACGUAAUGGUGGGCUGUGUGGAUCCAUGCCUUCGUGGAGGAAGCAUUUCAAAUUGACGAGGAAACCCGGAUAAGCUCUGGUAUUGAAAGGCAUGGUAGCUGCCACCUGUGCCAUCAAAACUUGUUCUUUGGAGGUAACCAGAAU